UAACUCCCUUACCCUUCCAUAGUGCACCCCUCUGUCACUACCACCCAGCUAGCCUUACACACACCACUAUGAGGAUCUGAGAGUGACCCAACAGGUAAUCAUUAACCUCAGGAGGAGAUGCUAGCCCUUUAAGGCUGCCCUGGGAGGGGAUAACAAAAAUCACCUCACUGGACUUUGCUUCCUAGGGCUGCUAGAGAAGAAAGGGAAAAAAAAAAAAAAAAAAGGCCUGGGAGCUGCAUGAGAGACUGUUGUCAGGUCAGGAAGCUCAGGGAGCAUCUCCUUCUCAACCCUUCCCUCUCUCCCCCUGCUAGGCUGCCUUGCUCUGGGUGGUGAAAGGCUUCCCUGCCCCCCCAAGUCAGGCAUCCUCUUACCCCAAACUAUUGGGUUUAAUUCCUAUCCUAUCUCCUUCCAAAUGGGUUUGCCCUCUCAAUGCUUGUCAUUGUAUCAUCACUAGCAAGGACCGUCCAAUUGUGCCCAGAGCCCAAGGCACUGGCCUAGUGACAAGGAAGAAAGCACAAGAACUGGAAUCAGUGUGCCUAUGUUCGAUACCUAGCUCUUUCCUGCAUGCCUGUGCGGCCUCAGCAGUCUCUACCCAUCUCUGACUAGAGUGUCCUUUCUCAGGAUGGGUGUUCUCAUUGCCAGCCACUAACUGUGACUCUGCCCUCAGCAGUGAAAAUGGAGAAAGUACUGAGGUUCUUGGUGACCUCACCUUUGACCAACAAUUUCCUGGCACUCAUGCAAGCUGCAGGGGGGGUGGGGAGAAGAGGGUAAACAGCAGGUGAGGUCAAAGGUAAUCCUGAAAGGCAAGAGACACAUUCCUAAAAGUCUCCCCAGCCUGAAGCUUGCAGCAGAGCCCAAAGUCCAAUAACAAACCUACACCUGUAUUCCAACUACUGAAGAGGCUAUAAAUUCCUGAGAACCCACCAGGAAGGAUGCUGCUAGCUGCCUGGGAAUUUCUUCAUUCAUAGUCCAGCUCCCCAGGUGCCCCCUCCUCUAGGAAGCCUUCAAGAUUUUCCAAAGGAACCUGAGGAUUUCUACCUGGGUGCGAAUGCUUCUCCCCACCACCUCCACCUCUUCUUCUGAUCAAUAAACAGUCAGAGAACGCAAGAGGUCUGACUGUGUGUAACCCACUGGGCAAUCCUAUGGGAGUCCUGACAUCAGUUUCUGGACCACUCUGAUACUCACAAUGAUCUUGGGCAAGUCUCAAAACCCUGGUCAUGUCACCCAGAAGAUGGAGAUAAUGACAAGGGAUUCUUUCAUGGGGCUUUGGGAAAGAACAGCCACCAGGUUCCAGAUGCUAGUAUGAUGCCAACCAUACUUCCCUGAACAGACAACCCCACCAAUAUGUCCUGAAGCUCCAAUUCCCCCAGAACCUCACCCCACUAGGGAAAGAGAGAGGCAGACUGGGAGUAUGGAUUGACCUAUCAACGCCCAUGCUCAGCAGGGAAACAA